UACGAAGGGUGCAAGCGUUACUCGGAAUUACUGGGCGUAAAGCGUGCGUAGGCGGUUUGUUAAGUCCGCUGUGAAAGCCCUGGGCUCAACCUGGGAAUUGCAGUGGAUACUGGCAGCUAGAGUGCGGUAGAGGAUGGUGGAAUUCCCGGUGUAGCGGUGAAAAUGCGUAGAGAUCGGGAGGAACACCCGUGGCGAAGGCGGCCAUCUGGACCAGCACUGACGCUGAGGCACGAAAGCG
rnacentral:rRNA from 1 species